rnacentral:rRNA from 1 species
UACGUAGGGUGCAAGCGUUGUCCGGAAUCAUUGGGCGUAAAGCGCGUGUAGGCGGCUCGGUAAGUCUGCUGUGAAAGUCCAGGGCUCAACCCUGGAAAGCCGGUGGAAACUGUCGAGCUAGAGUCCGGAAGAGGCGAGUGGAAUUCCUGGUGUAGCGGUGAAAUGCGCAGAUAUCAGGAGGAACACCAAUUGCGAAGGCAGCUCGCUGGAACGUAACUGACGCUGAGACGCGAAAGCGUGGGGAGCAAACAGG